ACGCUGGCGGCGUGCUUAACACAUGCAAGUCGAACGGAAAGGCCUCUUCGGAGGUACUCGAGUGGCGAACGGGUGAGUAACACGUGGGUAAUCUGCCCUGCACUUCGGGAUAAGCCUGGGAAACUGGGUCUAAUACCGGAUAUGACCACGAGACGCAUGUCCUGUGGUGGAAAGCUUUUGCGGUGUGGGAUGGGCCCGCGGCCUAUCAGCUUGUUGGUGGGGUGACGGCCUACCAAGGCGACGACGGGUAGCCGGCCUGAGAGGGUGUCCGGCCACACUGGGACUGAGAUACGGCCCAGACUCCUACGGGAGGCAGCAGUGGGGAAUAUUGCACAAUGGGCGCAAGCCUGAUGCAGCGACGCCGCGUGGGGGAUGACGGCCUUCGGGUUGUAAACCUCUUUCAGCAGGGACGAAGCGCAAGUGACGGUACCUGCAGAAGAAGCACCGGCCAACUACGUGCCAGCAGCCGCGGGUAAUACA
rnacentral:rRNA from 1 species